rnacentral:rRNA from 2 species
UUUCCGUAGGUGAACCUGCGGAAGGAUCAUUGUCGCC